UACGGAGGGUGCAAGCGUUGCUCGGAAUUAUUGGGCGUAAAGGGUAGGUAGGUGGUCUCAUUUGUCUGGGGUGAAAGCCUUGAGCUUAACUCAAGAAGUGCCCCAGAAACGGUGAGACUGGAGUCCUGGAGAGGGUCGUGGAAUUCCCGGUGUAGCGGUGGAAUGCGCAGAUAUCAGGAGGAACACCGAUGGCGAAGGCAGAUCUCUGGGCCGUAACUGACGCUGAGGAGCGAAAGCGUGGGGAGCGAACAGG
rnacentral:rRNA from 1 species